AAGUUUGAUUAUGGCUCAGGAUGAACGCUAGCGGCAGGCUUAACACAUGCAAGUCGAGGGGCAACGCGAGUAGCAAUACUUGGCGGCGACCGGCGCAAGGGUGCGUAACGCGUGAGCAACAUGCCCGUAUCAGGGGGAUAAUCCAGGGAAACUUGGUCUAAUACCCCAUAGUAAUUUUGUAAGGCAUCUUAUAAGAUUUAAAGCUUUGGUGGAUACGGAUUGGCUCGCGUGACAUUAGCUGGAUGGUAAGGUAACGGCUUACCAUGGCUAUGAUGUCUAGGGGUUCUGAGAGGAAGGUCCCCCACACUGGAACUGAGACACGGUCCAGACUCCUACGGGAGGCAGCAGUGAGGAAUAUUGGACAAUGGAUGGAAAUCUGAUCCAGCCAUGCCGCGUGAAAAGGAAGAAGGUCCUAUGGAUUGUAAACUUCUUUUGUAUGGGAGCAAUAAGGCCUACGAGUAGGCUGAUGAGAGUACCAUACGAAUAAGCACCGGCUAACUCCGUGCCAGCAGCCGC
rnacentral:rRNA from 1 species